rnacentral:rRNA from 1 species
UUCAAAUUUCUGCCCUAUCACUUUCGAUGGUAGAGUAGUGGUCUACCAAUGGUUUCAACGGGUACGGGAAUUAGGGUUCUAUUCCGGAAAGGGAGCCUGAGAAACGGUUACCACAUCCAAGGAAGGCAGCAGGCGCGCAAAUUACCCAAUCCCGACACGGGGAGGUAGUGACAAUAAAUACUUGAUACAGGGCUCUUUUGGGUCUUGUAAUUUGGAAUGAGUACAAUUUAAAUCCCUUAACGAGGAACAAUUGGAGGGCAAGUCUGGUGCCAGCAGCCCGGGUAAUUCCAGCUCCAAUAGCGUAUAUUAAAGUUGUUGCAGUUAAAAAGCUCGUAGUUGAAC